rnacentral:tRNA from 1 species
GCUUCCGUAGUAUAGUGGUUAUUAUAUUCGGCUGUUAAGCCCAUCUGAUGACAGAUGAACCUGAUACCGAAGGGUCGGUGGUUCGAACCCACCCGGGAGCG